CAGCAGCCGCGGUAAUACGUAGGUGCAAGCGUUGUCCGGAAUUAUUGGGCGUAAAGAGCUCGUAGGCGGUCUGUCACGUCGGCUGUGAAAACUCGGGGCUCAACCCCGAGCCUGCAGUCGAUACGGGCAGACUAGAGUGCUGUAGGGGAGACUGGAAUUCCUGGUGUAGCGGUGAAAUGCGCAGAUAUCAGGAGGAACACCGGUGGCGAAGGCGGGUCUCUGGGCAGUAACUGACGCUGAGGAGCGAAAGCGUGGGGAGCAAACAGGAUUAGAUACCCUGGUAGUCCACGCCGUAAACGGUGGGUGCUAGGUGUGAGCGGUAUUCCACGCCGUUCGUGCCGCAGCUAACGCAUUAAGCACCCCGCCUGGGGAGUACGGCCGCAAGGCUAAAACUCAAAGGAAUUGACGGGGGCCCGCACAAGCAGCGGAGCAUGUGGCUUAAUUCGACGCAACGCGAAGAACCUUACCAAGGCUUGACAUACACCGAAAACUCGUAGAGAUACGGGGUCCGCAAGGGCGGUGUACAGGUGGUGCAUGGUUGUCGUCAGCUCGUGUCGUGAGAUGUUGGGUUAAGUCCCGCAACGAGCGCAACCCUCGUUCUAUGUUGCCAGCGCGUCAUGGCGGGGACUCAUAGGAGACUGCCGGGGUCAACUCGGAGGAAGGUGGGGACGACGUCAAAUCAUCAUGCCCCUUAUGUCUUGGGCUGCACACAUGCUACAAUGGCCGGUACAAAGGGCUGCUAAGCCGCGAGGUGGAGCGAAUCCCAAAAAGCCGGUCUCAGUUCGGAUUGGGGUCUGCAACUCGACCCCAUGAAGUCGGAGUUGCUAGUAAUCGCAGAUCAGCAACGCUGCGGUGAAUACGUUCCCGGCCUUGUACACACCGCCCGU
rnacentral:rRNA from 1 species